UCCCUCUCUCUCCCCCACUCGUCUCUCCCUCUCCCUCGCGCGAGCAGCUACGGCGGCCUCCCUUGACCCCACGCUGCUGCGCCACCUCGCCUCCGCCCGCCGGUGCGUGCCACCACCUCACCGGACCCCAGGAGCCCUGUCGCCUCGCGCUGCCGCCUGCACCGCUCACGCGCCGCCACAUCCCCACAAGCUCGCCGCCCCGCUGCGGAAGCCUCGUCGCCGGUCGCCCCGACCUCGAGAUCCGCCGCUGCCAUGGGAGCCGAGCAGCGAGCUCUUCUGCGCCACGCCCGCGUCCCCGCGUCACCGCCGCCAUCCCACGCAGCCUCGCGCCAAGAUCCGGCCGCGGGAGGUCCGGCCACUCCGGAUCCAGCCUCCUCCUCGCCGCACAGGCCCUCCUCCUCGCCGGUGUGACGCCCCUCGCCGGAGCAGAGCCGGCCAAGCCCAUCAGCCGCCAGGGUCGUGCUGCAGCCCAUCCGUGAGAUCUCCGGCGCCGUGCAGCUGCCAGGGUCCAAGUCACUCUCCAACUAGAUCCUCCUCCUCUCCGCUCCACUGGCCGUGUCCCUCUGCGCGCUGACGGACAGCAGCGGCGUCCACGGCAGAAGAGGAGUAUUCCCGUGUUUUUACGCGUUGUCUUCCUCGGCGACGAUUGCCACGGCGCUGCUGUUAUGUUCUACCUCCACAUUUCGCUGCUGUGAUUCCAUUAGACUGUGCGUAUGUGCCUAUGUGGGGAAGCAUGUCUGAUUGCCCAGGUUCAGGACCAUAUUUCACAACAAGAUAUUCUCCUUGGCAACCGACCUGGAAGUGAGGUCACAGUUGACACCUAUUGUCGUCCAACAGUUGAUACUUGAAGUCAAGUGUUGGCUCCUACAGCAUUGCAUUUCACCAAUUUAAAUGCUACAUUUCUACUCCUAAACCAUUCUCUCUUUCUUAGUGUUUUUGUUAUGCAGGUUGGAAGAAAAGAAGAAGAUCCAGAGAAGAUCUUAGUAAUAAGAUAGUUUUUAGGAAAAUAGAUAUUUAGUUUUAGGUCAUUUCUUGUAAUUUUAGAUAUGGAGUACUUGCUAUUAUUGGUAACAUGUGUUGGAUAUGUGUU